ACGGUUAUAAAUCAACCCCUUGAUUUAUAAACAUGGAAAUCCCCUGAGUGAAACGAAUUGCUGUGUGUAGUCUUUGCCCAUCUCCCACGAUGGGCUUUUUUUUAU
rfam:Cronobacter sp. DJ34 Bact_A5_13, whole genome shotgun sequence.